rnacentral:rRNA from 1 species
GUGGGGAAUAUUGGGCAAUGGGCGAAAGCCUGACCCAGCAACGCCGCGUGAAGGAAGAAGGCUUUCGGGUUGUAAACUUCUUUUGUCAGGGACGAAAAAAAUGACGGUACCUGACGAAUAAGCCACGGCUAACUACGUGCCAGCAGCCGCGGUAAUACGUAGGUGGCAAGCGUUAUCCGGAUUUACUGGGUGUAAAGGGCGUGUAGGCGGGAAAGCAAGUCAGAUGUGAAAACUAUGGGCUCAACCCAUAGCCUGCAUUUGAAACUGUUUUUCUUGAGUACGGGAGAGGCAGAUGGAAUUCCUAGUGUAGCGGUGAAAUGCGUAGAUAUUAGGAGGAACACCAGUGGCGAAGGCGAUCUGCUGGACAGCAACUGACGCUGAGGCGCGAAAGCGUGGGGAGCAAACAGGAUUAGAAACCCUAGUAGUCC